GAUGAAGAACGUAGCGAAAUGCGAUACGCAAUGUGAAUUGCAGAAUUCAGUGAAUCAUCGAAUCUUUGAACGCAUAUUGCGCUCUCUGGUAUUCCGGAGAGCAUGCUUGUUUGAGUAUCAGUAAACACCUCAACUUCCAUAUCUUUUUUUGAAAUGGGAGUUGGACUUGAGUGAUCCCAACGCUUUUCCUCACCGAAAAGUGGCGGGUUACUUGAAAUGCAGGUGCAGCUGGACUUUUCUCUGAGCUAUAAGCAUAUCUAUUUAGUCUGCCUAAAAAACAGAUUAUUACCUUUGCUGCAGCUAACAUAAAGGAGAUUAGUUCUUGUGCUGACUGAUGCAGGAUUCACAAAGACAGCUUCGGCCGACUUUGUAAACUCGAUCUCAAAUCAAGUAAGACUACCCGCUGAACUUAAGCAUAUCAAUAAGCGGAGGA
rnacentral:misc_RNA from 1 species